GUAUGAUGGAGGGGAAGAGACAAUGUGAUGGAGGGAGCGAGCAGGCCGCUGGUUGUCCGGGCGGGGUGAGGUGAGGGUUGAGCCUGAGGAGCAAUGUGAGUAUAAUCCUCAGUCGGAGGGUGAGGAAUCCGGCUCCUCUGGGGCUUCUGCAGUUUUUGUUUCUCUCUCUGUCUGUGUCUGUCCCUCUCUUUCUCGGAGUCAUUGUCUCUCUCCCUCAGUCUCUUUGCCUUUCUCUCUCUCUCUGGCUGUGCCUCUCUCCUUCUCCCUGCCCCACAGACUGGGUUCCGGGCAAUGCCCAGCCUGAGGAAGGUGGUAGUGCCUGGGGAAGCUCGGUGCUGUGUAGAGGGAGAGUCCGGGGGGAGAGGGAGCUGCGUGUUUGCGAGCGGACUCAGUGAGUGAGGGCAGCGCCGGCUGUAAACCGUGCACACAGCAAGCUGCUCCCGGCUCACUCCAACCACAACUUCCAUUUGAGCAGCGCCCACUUCCUCCCCUCGGCUCCGGCCAAAGUUCGCCGAUUCUCCAGGAGCAGCUCUCAGAGACGAGGGCCGAAGAUGACAGCGGUCUGCCGGGGAAGAUGAGCGGAUUUUCCAACGAGGUGCUUUGGAAACGGGCUGCUAACUCCUGCAGCUGAUCCGAGGGGCCGGGCUCUGAGCUGCUGAAACCUGUGAAUUCCUCAGCCUCUGGUAACUUGCUCUUUACCCACUCUCAGGUCAAUACGGUAGACCCGUCUCUCCGCCUCAGACCUUGCUGUGAAGAUGGUAAUAACUGCGGCCAAUGAAGAGGACAACGCUUCGAAUGAAGAAAAGGAGACAGAUCAACUAACUCCACAAAGAUCUACGCACAUGAUGCACCAAGGCUCCUCAGACAGCGCCUUCUAAAUCCCCGGCUACUUCCAUCGAGAAGGACAAGGGCAGCAGAUACAUGGGAACACCACCCCCUGCAUGUUCCCCUCCGAGCCACUCAGCAUCCUGACUCGGAAAUGUAUCGCCGUUCCUUCAGUGUCACUGGGUCAGAAUCCUGAAACUCUGUCCAUGACUGGACUGUGGGUGAACCUGGACAUGAACUGGACUCUGAAUUUCAGGCCUCAGGCCUCUAACAUAACAGUGCUCUCGCAAAGACAGAACUUUAUGUUUAUGUAACACUUUCAACCAGGAAAACAUUAAAAAGCAUUUUAUGGAAUCACAGAGUUGUUAAGAUAUAGGUGGAUGUCAUUCAGCCUAUCAUGGGCUCUCUGAAUUAGACAUUUCAUUUAUACUGUUGUUCUGCUGCCUUAGCUGUGGAACCCAGUCUAUUCUUCUUUUACUGAUUUCCUUUUGCAAGCCUCAGUUUCCCCUGCCUCCACCACACUGUCAGGCAGGGCAUUCAGCCCAAGUGAAUUUCUAGAUGAAGAGUCACCUAGACUCUAA